CUACUAUCUCUAUUACCUGGAAUGAGUGGUUUGUGUUAUGAGGAAAAGGUGGAAAAGCUAGACUUGUGUCUGCUGGAGUUUAGAAGUGUAAGAGGUGACUUUAUCAAAGCUGAAGUUUGAGGGAUUUUGACAGUGUGGAUUUCUCCUCUUCUAGGAGAACCUGGAACUAAGAAUCAUUGCUUAAAAAUAAAGGAUUGCUCUGUUAAGACUGAUGAAGAGAAUUUUUUUCCUUUGAGGAAUUGAAUCUUUGGAGUUCCCUUCUUUAAAAGGCUCUUGCUGCACUGCUUGCAACUUGCUGAAAGGAAACAUGGCCCAAGAAGUAAAGCAUUUUCACCACAAGAUGGCAGUCUGCAUUCAUCAACUCCGUUGUCUUGAAGAAAGUGAACCAUUAGAAAUGUUUUCUUCACAUAAGGGAAUUUACACUUCAGGAACUUGUGCUUCACCUUCAGAAUUAAUCAAGUUCCUUUUUAUACAUAUUAGGUAGAUUUCAUUCUUCAGACAUUUGCUCUAGUGUGUCAAUCUAAGAUAAGAUGAGAUCAUUUGAUAAAGUGAAGAACUUAUUUGUAUCAAAUUGUAUAAAUAAAAAAGCAAUCAUUUUGAGAUUAAGACGUGGGAGAGUGAUUUUGCUUGAUAUCAAAAUGACUUCUAGAAAAGAUACUAAAGAAUGAAUUAUAUUUGCUAGUACCUAAUGCUUAGUUAUACUAAAUUUAAGCACUUAUUCUUUGUACUGUCUUUAAUAAAAUCUUGCUAUUCUGGCACA